rnacentral:lncRNA from 1 species
GGGCGGAUCUGGGGGCGGAGGCGGGCCACGAUAGGCUUGAAGGGAGGGAUAUAGGGGCGGAACCUUCCGCGAGGGUGGGGCUGUCCUAGAGGCGGUGGCGGAAAGCAAGGAAGCAGGGGUUCGGCGAGGCCCUGCCCUACAGGGCUUGGCAGGGUUCGUGGCCGUUUGGGGUUGGUCCGAAGGGACAUCAUGUCCGUCGGGGGCGGGAUCGUCGUCACUGUCAAAGGACAUCAAGUCCUCUUCUUUGUCUGACAAAGAAGUCGUGGUCUCAACGGGCCUGGGCCCCGGCGCCAUAUUGGCCCGGGAGACUGCGUCAGAAUCACUGGCGGGUGUCAGCCCCUUACCAUCUCGGAGAGCUACCUCCCCAGCCUGUAUAGCCUGCGCCACCAGUGGAUCCCUCGCUUUAUGAGAAAUAAUAUCAUUAAUCAAAUUCCAAUAUGAGAACGCCGCAAUCGGGACCUUCCCGGGUCCGCAAGUGGCAUAAUAAUCCUGGAGAGCUUCCCCCACCUUUUUCCAUCUCUGUUCGUCAAUGGUUCCCUCAGCAGGGAACCCACGUUGGGCGCCACUUGUCCCGGCCCGCGGGUGCAAUGAGUUGAGCAGCUUUCCAGCAUCACACCCUUCCACUAUGAUGUUCCUGUCUUGGAGCCUGUCAACCAUGGACUGAAGUCUCUGAAACUGUGAGCCAAAAUGGACUACUCCUCCUUUAAUAUGCAUAUGUUCUAACAAUGGGAAGGUCAUUAAUAGAGUGGCAUAUUUAUAUUAAAUAUAAAUGAAUACCCAAUAUUGGGCUAAAAUGUUUAGAAACUCCAGGUUUUAAGAUUGUAAUUAGGCUAAAGUAAUUCUAGGUGGAAAUUAUCUGGUCAUUUAUGACACUACAAAUCCAUUGAUAUUGAUAACUAAAUUAUCCAAAGUUACCGUAAUCCUAUAUUGUAAAGAAGGGAGGAGCAGUCCUGAUUUAUAUGCCAAUUCUCAUCCAUGAGGUUUACAUAACCUUAAAAGGCAAGGGCUGCAUGUUUUCUUUUGAGACAAGGAAAAAUGCAGAAUGAGAUCUUCCAUGUAACUGUCUUUAAUUAUGAGGGAAAAGGUAAGGCACUGGAACAGGUUGGUUGCAUCCCUGGAACAGGGAUGCUCUUGAGUGACAGUAGGCAUUCUGAGGAGGGAGAGUUUCAUUAAACAGAGUUGUUUACUAAUAGACUUCCUAGUGCUCUUAAGAGAAACUCCUAAUAUGCAUUGUGAAUCUCUUAAGAUGCUGAAAGUAUUUGUAGCCAAACUUUUUUGACCAUGACCUUACUCUUUUGAGAAGCAUUUUGUGAUAUUAAUUUACCACUGAAUGUACUGGAAAACUUACAAUAGUAAUAAAUCAUUGUUUUCUCUGAAGUCUUCUGACAAGCAGCCCAUCCUCUACUACUGAAGUUAGUUUCCAUUGCCUUUCAAACUCAUUCUGUUUUAAUUAGGCUUCAUCAACUGUCAGGUUAUUCUCUUUUCUACCCCAUUCCAUCUACAUCCAAAACAUAUAUAUUGAGUUAUUUCCACUUAUCUAGUACCC